ACCCAGCUACAGGCCAUGGCUCAGCUUCCUGUGUGGUCUCACACCCCUCCCCACACAGCUCAGAGAGGCUCCCAGCUGCACUGCCUCCGCUCUCUUGGUGGCCAUACCGGAGCUGAUGGAGGAUGAGGAGGGCUACACGGUGCUGAACCUAAAGUCCAGGGGGGGCCGCUCAGCCGUCCCACCUGCAGCCAGGAUCCCAGGUGCCCAGUGUCCCUGGUGGCACCGCGCGGCGCGGUGGGGCGGAUGGGCUGGGAACAUGGUGCUGCUGGUCGCUGUGAUAGUGCUGGGGAUGUGGGUUUCCCACCUGGCGUCCGAGAAGGGACAGACCCCGGCAGCCCCUGGGAGUGGGGACCCCAGCACAGCAGCCUGCAGCGCCUGCCUGGAGCGUGUCCGAUCCCAGCUGUGCCCCACGGCCCAGCCCGGCCCAGCAGGUAACCCCAGCUCAUGUGUGUCUGAGCCGCCCACCCCCAGGCACUGCCAGAGGGAACCCAGCUGCGGGGCCAGGCCAUGGGGCUCCUGCAGGGCAGGGACACGCCGCCCCCUGCUGGCUGCACUGAUCUAGUCCCCAUCCCCACUCAGAGCCAGGCUGGGAAUGUACCUGCCUCAGCAGGGCCUGGCUGUGGGGCAGUGACACCUAGUGUCCCUUUCCGGGUAUUACAUGGGAAGAUUUAAAUAGCUGUAAUACAAAGUGAUCCAGGGUUUUUUUCGGUGGGAGGUGGGGUCAAAACUCAUUAUUAGAGACACUGUCUCAUGGUUCC